UACGUAGGGGGGCAAGCGUUGUCCGGAUUUAUUGGGCGUAAAGAGCUCGUAGGCGGUCUGUCGCGUCGGCUGUGAAAUCCCGGGGCUCAACCCCGGGCCUGCAGUCGAUACGGGCAGACUAGAGUGCGGUAGGGGAGACUGGAAUUCCUGGUGUAGCGGUGAAAUGCGUAGAUAUCAGGAGGAACACCUGUGGCGAAAGCGGCUCACUGGACCAUAACUGACGCUGAUGCACGAAAGCUAGGGGAGCAAACAGG
rnacentral:rRNA from 1 species